rnacentral:sRNA from 1 species
GCAGUCCCUCCCCGCCCCCGCUCUCCCCUCCGCAGCCUGCAGCCCGAGACUUCUGUAAAGGACUGGGGCCCCGCAACUGGCCUCUCCUGCCCUCUUAAGCGCAGCGCCAUUUUAGCAACGCAGAAGCCCGGCGCCGGGAAGCCUCAGCUCGCCUGAAGGCAGGUCCCCUCUGACGCCUCCGGGAGCCCAGGUUUCCCAGAGUCCUUGGGACGCAGCGACGAGUUGUGCUGCUAUCUUAGCUGUCCUUAUAGGCUGGCCAUUCCAGGUGGUGGUAUUUAGAUAAAACCACUCAAACUCUGCAGUUUGGUCUUGGGGUUUGGAGGAAAGCUUUUAUUUUUCUUCCUGCUCCGGUUCAGAAGGUCUGAAGCUCAUACCUAACCAGGCAUAACACAGAAUCUGCAAAACAAAAACCCCUAAAAAAGCAGACCCAGAGCAGUGUAAACACUUCUGGGUGUGUCCCUGACUGGCUGCCCAAGGUCUCUGUGUCUUCGGAGACAAAGCCAUUCGCUUAGUUGGUCUACUUUAAAAGGCCACUUGAACUCGCUUUCCAUGGCGAUUUGCCUUGUGAGCACUUUCAGGAGAGCCUGGAAGCUGAAAAACGGUAGAAAAAUUUCCGUGCGGGCCGUGGGGGGCUGGCGGCAACUGGGGGGCCGCAGAUCAGAGUGGGCCACUGGCAGCCAACGGCCCCCGGGGCUCAGGCGGGGAGCAGCUCUGUGGUGUGGGAUUGAGGCGUUUUCCAAGAGUGGGUUUUCACGUUUCUAAGAUUUCCCAAGCAGACAGCCCGUGCUGCUCCGAUUUCUCGAACAAAAAAGCAAAACGUGUGGCUGUCUUGGGAGCAAGUCGCAGGACUGCAAGCAGUUGGGGGAGAAAGUCCGCCAUUUUGCCACUUCUCAACCGUCCCUGCAAGGCUGGGGCUCAGUUGCGUAAUGGAAAGUAAAGCCCUGAACUAUCACACUUUAAUCUUCCUUCAAAAGGUGGUAAACUAUACCUACUGUCCCUCAAGAGAACACAAGAAGUGCUUUAAGAGGUAUUUUAAAAGUUCCGGGGGUUUUGUGAGGUGUUUGAUGACCCGUUUAAAAUAUGAUUUCCAUGUUUCUUUUGUCUAAAGUUUGCAGCUCAAAUCUUUCCACACGCUAGUAAUUUAAGUAUUUCUGCAUGUGUAGUUUGCAUUCAAGUUCCAUAAGCUGUUAAGAAAAAUCUAGAAAAGUAAAACUAGAACCUAUUUUUAACCGAAGAACUACUUUUUGCCUCCCUCACAAAGGCGGCGGAAGGUGAUCGAAUUCCGGUGAUGCGAGUUGUUCUCCGUCUAUAAAUACGCCUCGCCCGAGCUGUGCGGUAGGCAUUGAGGCAGCCAGCGCAGGGGCUUCUGCUGAGGGGGCAGGCGGAGCUUGAGGAAACCGCAGAUAAGUUUUUUUCUCUUUGAAAGAUAGAGAUUAAUACAACUACUUAAAAAAUAUAGUCAAUAGGUUACUAAGAUAUUGCUUAGCGUUAAGUUUUUAACGUAAUUUUAAUAGCUUAAGAUUUUAAGAGAAAAUAUGAAGACUUAGAAGAGUAGCAUGAGGAAGGAAAAGAUAAAAGGUUUCUAAAACAUGACGGAGGUUGAGAUGAAGCUUCUUCAUGGAGUAAAAAAUGUAUUUAAAAGAAAAUUGAGAGAAAGGACUACAGAGCCCCGAAUUAAUACCAAUAGAAGGGCAAUGCUUUUAGAUUAAAAUGAAGGUGACUUAAACAGCUUAAAGUUUAGUUUAAAAGUUGUAGGUGAUUAAAAUAAUUUGAAGGCGAUCUUUUAAAAAGAGAUUAAACCGAAGGUGAUUAAAAGACCUUGAAAUCCAUGACGCAGGGAGAAUUGCGUCAUUUAAAGCCUAGUUAACGCAUUUACUAAACGCAGACGAAAAUGGAAAGAUUAAUUGGGAGUGGUAGGAUGAAACAAUUUGGAGAAGAUAGAAGUUUGAAGUGGAAAACUGGAAGACAGAAGUACGGGAAGGCGAAGAAAAGAAUAGAGAAGAUAGGGAAAUUAGAAGAUAAAAACAUACUUUUAGAAGAAAAAAGAUAAAUUUAAACCUGAAAAGUAGGAAGCAGAAGAAAAAAGACAAGCUAGGAAACAAAAAGCUAAGGGCAAAAUGUACAAACUUAGAAGAAAAUUGGAAGAUAGAAACAAGAUAGAAAAUGAAAAUAUUGUCAAGAGUUUCAGAUAGAAAAUGAAAAACAAGCUAAGACAAGUAUUGGAGAAGUAUAGAAGAUAGAAAAAUAUAAAGCCAAAAAUUGGAUAAAAUAGCACUGAAAAAAUGAGGAAAUUAUUGGUAACCAAUUUAUUUUAAAAGCCCAUCAAUUUAAUUUCUGGUGGUGCAGAAGUUAGAAGGUAAAGCUUGAGAAGAUGAGGGUGUUUACGUAGACCAGAACCAAUUUAGAAGAAUACUUGAAGCUAGAAGGGGAAGUUGGUUAAAAAUCACAUCAAAAAGCUACUAAAAGGACUGGUGUAAUUUAAAAAAAACUAAGGCAGAAGGCUUUUGGAAGAGUUAGAAGAAUUUGGAAGGCCUUAAAUAUAGUAGCUUAGUUUGAAAAAUGUGAAGGACUUUCGUAACGGAAGUAAUUCAAGAUCAAGAGUAAUUACCAACUUAAUGUUUUUGCAUUGGACUUUGAGUUAAGAUUAUUUUUUAAAUCCUGAGGACUAGCAUUAAUUGACAGCUGACCCAGGUGCUACACAGAAGUGGAUUCAGUGAAUCUAGGAAGACAGCAGCAGACAGGAUUCCAGGAACCAGUGUUUGAUGAAGCUAGGACUGAGGAGCAAGCGAGCAAGCAGCAGUUCGUGGUGAAGAUAGGAAAAGAGUCCAGGAGCCAGUGCGAUUUGGUGAAGGAAGCUAGGAAGAAGGAAGGAGCGCUAACGAUUUGGUGGUGAAGCUAGGAAAAAGGAUUCCAGGAAGGAGCGAGUGCAAUUUGGUGAUGAAGGUAGCAGGCGGCUUGGCUUGGCAACCACACGGAGGAGGCGAGCAGGCGUUGUGCGUAGAGGAUCCUAGACCAGCAUGCCAGUGUGCCAAGGCCACAGGGAAAGCGAGUGGUUGGUAAAAAUCCGUGAGGUCGGCAAUAUGUUGUUUUUCUGGAACUUACUUAUGGUAACCUUUUAUUUAUUUUCUAAUAUAAUGGGGGAGUUUCGUACUGAGGUGUAAAGGGAUUUAUAUGGGGACGUAGGCCGAUUUCCGGGUGUUGUAGGUUUCUCUUUUUCAGGCUUAUACUCAUGAAUCUUGUCUGAAGCUUUUGAGGGCAGACUGCCAAGUCCUGGAGAAAUAGUAGAUGGCAAGUUUGUGGGUUUUUUUUUUUUACACGAAUUUGAGGAAAACCAAAUGAAUUUGAUAGCCAAAUUGAGACAAUUUCAGCAAAUCUGUAAGCAGUUUGUAUGUUUAGUUGGGGUAAUGAAGUAUUUCAGUUUUGUGAAUAGAUGACCUGUUUUUACUUCCUCACCCUGAAUUCGUUUUGUAAAUGUAGAGUUUGGAUGUGUAACUGAGGCGGGGGGGAGUUUUCAGUAUUUUUUUUUGUGGGGGUGGGGGCAAAAUAUGUUUUCAGUUCUUUUUCCCUUAGGUCUGUCUAGAAUCCUAAAGGCAAAUGACUCAAGGUGUAACAGAAAACAAGAAAAUCCAAUAUCAGGAUAAUCAGACCACCACAGGUUUACAGUUUAUAGAAACUAGAGCAGUUCUCACGUUGAGGUCUGUGGAAGAGAUGUCCAUUGGAGAAAUGGCUGGUAGUUACUCUUUUUUCCCCCCACCCCCUUAAUCAGACUUUAAAAGUGCUUAACCCCUUAAACUUGUUAUUUUUUACUUGAAGCAUUUUGGGAUGGUCUUAACAGGGAAGAGAGAGGGUGGGGGAGAAAAUGUUUUUUUCUAAGAUUUUCCACAGAUGCUAUAGUACUAUUGACAAACUGGGUUAGAGAAGGAGUGUACCGCUGUGCUGUUGGCACGAACACCUUCAGGGACUGGAGCUGCUUUUAUCCUUGGAAGAGUAUUCCCAGUUGAAGCUGAAAAGUACAGCACAGUGCAGCUUUGGUUCAUAUUCAGUCAUCUCAGGAGAACUUCAGAAGAGCUUGAGUAGGCCAAAUGUUGAAGUUAAGUUUUCCAAUAAUGUGACUUCUUAAAAGUUUUAUUAAAGGGGAGGGGCAAAUAUUGGCAAUUAGUUGGCAGUGGCCUGUUACGGUUGGGAUUGGUGGGGUGGGUUUAGGUAAUUGUUUAGUUUAUGAUUGCAGAUAAACUCAUGCCAGAGAACUUAAAGUCUUAGAAUGGAAAAAGUAAAGAAAUAUCAACUUCCAAGUUGGCAAGUAACUCCCAAUGAUUUAGUUUUUUUCCCCCCAGUUUGAAUUGGGAAGCUGGGGGAAGUUAAAUAUGAGCCACUGGGUGUACCAGUGCAUUAAUUUGGGCAAGGAAAGUGUCAUAAUUUGAUACUGUAUCUGUUUUCCUUCAAAGUAUAGAGCUUUUGGGGAAGGAAAGUAUUGAACUGGGGGUUGGUCUGGCCUACUGGGCUGACAUUAACUACAAUUAUGGGAAAUGCAAAAGUUGUUUGGAUAUGGUAGUGUGUGGUUCUCUUUUGGAAUUUUUUUCAGGUGAUUUAAUAAUAAUUUAAAACUACUAUAGAAACUGCAGAGCAAAGGAAGUGGCUUAAUGAUCCUGAAGGGAUUUCUUCUGAUGGUAGCUUUUGUAUUAUCAAGUAAGAUUCUAUUUUCAGUUGUGUGUAAGCAAGUUUUUUUUUAGUGUAGGAGAAAUACUUUUCCAUUGUUUAACUGCAAAACAAGAUGUUAAGGUAUGCUUCAAAAAUUUUGUAAAUUGUUUAUUUUAAACUUAUCUGUUUGUAAAUUGUAACUGAUUAAGAAUUGUGAUAGUUCAGCUUGAAUGUCUCUUAGAGGGUGGGCUUUUGUUGAUGAGGGAGGGGAAACUUUUUUUUUUUCUAUAGACUUUUUUCAGAUAACAUCUUCUGAGUCAUAACCAGCCUGGCAGUAUGAUGGCCUAGAUGCAGAGAAAACAGCUCCUUGGUGAAUUGAUAAGUAAAGGCAGAAAAGAUUAUAUGUCAUACCUCCAUUGGGGAAUAAGCAUAACCCUGAGAUUCUUACUACUGAUGAGAACAUUAUCUGCAUAUGCCAAAAAAUUUUAAGCAAAUGAAAGCUACCAAUUUAAAGUUACGGAAUCUACCAUUUUAAAGUUAAUUGCUUGUCAAGCUAUAACCACAAAAAUAAUGAAUUGAUGAGAAAUACAAUGAAGAGGCAAUGUCCAUCUCAAAAUACUGCUUUUACAAAAGCAGAAUAAAAGCGAAAAGAAAUGAAAAUGUUACACUACAUUAAUCCUGGAAUAAAAGAAGCCGAAAUAAAUGAGAGAUGAGUUGGGAUCAAGUGGAUUGAGGAGGCUGUGCUGUGUGCCAAUGUUUCGUUUGCCUCAGACAGGUAUCUCUUCGUUAUCAGAAGAGUUGCUUCAUUUCAUCUGGGAGCAGAAAACAGCAGGCAGCUGUUAACAGAUAAGUUUAACUUGCAUCUGCAGUAUUGCAUGUUAGGGAUAAGUGCUUAUUUUUAAGAGCUGUGGAGUUCUUAAAUAUCAACCAUGGCACUUUCUCCUGACCCCUUCCCUAGGGGAUUUCAGGAUUGAGAAAUUUUUCCAUCGAGCCUUUUUAAAAUUGUAGGACUUGUUCCUGUGGGCUUCAGUGAUGGGAUAGUACACUUCACUCAGAGGCAUUUGCAUCUUUAAAUAAUUUCUUAAAAGCCUCUAAAGUGAUCAGUGCCUUGAUGCCAACUAAGGAAAUUUGUUUAGCAUUGAAUCUCUGAAGGCUCUAUGAAAGGAAUAGCAUGAUGUGCUGUUAGAAUCAGAUGUUACUGCUAAAAUUUACAUGUUGUGAUGUAAAUUGUGUAGAAAACCAUUAAAUCAUUCAAAAUAAUAAACUAUUUUUAUUAGAGAAUGUAUACUUUUAGAAAGCUGUCUCCUUAUUUAAAUAAAAUAGUGUUUGUCUGUAGUUCAGUGUUGGGGCAAUCUUGGGGGGGAUUCUUCUCUAAUCUUUCAGAAACUUUGUCUGCGAACACUCUUUAAUGGACCAGAUCAGGAUUUGAGCGGAAGAACGAAUGUAACUUUAAGGCAGGAAAGACAAAUUUUAUUCUUCAUAAAGUGAUGAGCAUAUAAUAAUUCCAGGCACAUGGCAAUAGAGGCCCUCUAAAUAAGGAAUAAAUAACCUCUUAGACAGGUGGGAGAUUAUGAUCAGAGUAAAAGGUAAUUACACAUUUUAUUUCCAGAAAGUCAGGGGUCUAUAAAUUGACAGUGAUUAGAGUAAUACUUUUUCACAUUUCCAAAGUUUGCAUGUUAACUUUAAAUGCUUACAAUCUUAGAGUGGUAGGCAAUGUUUUACACUAUUGACCUUAUAUAGGGAAGGGAGGGGGUGCCUGUGGGGUUUUAAAGAAUUUUCCUUUGCAGAGGCAUUUCAUCCUUCAUGAAGCCAUUCAGGAUUUUGAAUUGCAUAUGAGUGCUUGGCUCUUCCUUCUGUUCUAGUGAGUGUAUGAGACCUUGCAGUGAGUUUAUCAGCAUACUCAAAAUUUUUUUCCUGGAAUUUGGAGGGAUGGGAGGAGGGGGUGGGGCUUACUUGUUGUAGCUUUUUUUUUUUUUACAGACUUCACAGAGAAUGCAGUUGUCUUGACUUCAGGUCUGUCUGUUCUGUUGGCAAGUAAAUGCAGUACUGUUCUGAUCCCGCUGCUAUUAGAAUGCAUUGUGAAACGACUGGAGUAUGAUUAAAAGUUGUGUUCCCCAAUGCUUGGAGUAGUGAUUGUUGAAGGAAAAAAUCCAGCUGAGUGAUAAAGGCUGAGUGUUGAGGAAAUUUCUGCAGUUUUAAGCAGUCGUAUUUGUGAUUGAAGCUGAGUACAUUUUGCUGGUGUAUUUUUAGGUAAAAUGCUUUUUGUUCAUUUCUGGUGGUGGGAGGGGACUGAAGCCUUUAGUCUUUUCCAGAUGCAACCUUAAAAUCAGUGACAAGAAACAUUCCAAACAAGCAACAGUCUUCAAGAAAUUAAACUGGCAAGUGGAAAUGUUUAAACAGUUCAGUGAUCUUUAGUGCAUUGUUUAUGUGUGGGUUUCUCUCUCCCCUCCCUUGGUCUUAAUUCUUACAUGCAGGAACACUCAGCAGACACACGUAUGCGAAGGGCCAGAGAAGCCAGACCCAGUAAGAAAAAAUAGCCUAUUUACUUUAAAUAAACCAAACAUUCCAUUUUAAAUGUGGGGAUUGGGAACCACUAGUUCUUUCAGAUGGUAUUCUUCAGACUAUAGAAGGAGCUUCCAGUUGAAUUCACCAGUGGACAAAAUGAGGAAAACAGGUGAACAAGCUUUUUCUGUAUUUACAUACAAAGUCAGAUCAGUUAUGGGACAAUAGUAUUGAAUAGAUUUCAGCUUUAUGCUGGAGUAACUGGCAUGUGAGCAAACUGUGUUGGCGUGGGGGUGGAGGGGUGAGGUGGGCGCUAAGCCUUUUUUUAAGAUUUUUCAGGUACCCCUCACUAAAGGCACCGAAGGCUUAAAGUAGGACAACCAUGGAGCCUUCCUGUGGCAGGAGAGACAACAAAGCGCUAUUAUCCUAAGGUCAAGAGAAGUGUCAGCCUCACCUGAUUUUUAUUAGUAAUGAGGACUUGCCUCAACUCCCUCUUUCUGGAGUGAAGCAUCCGAAGGAAUGCUUGAAGUACCCCUGGGCUUCUCUUAACAUUUAAGCAAGCUGUUUUUAUAGCAGCUCUUAAUAAUAAAGCCCAAAUCUCAAGCGGUGCUUGAAGGGGAGGGAAAGGGGGAAAGCGGGCAACCACUUUUCCCUAGCUUUUCCAGAAGCCUGUUAAAAGCAAGGUCUCCCCACAAGCAACUUCUCUGCCACAUCGCCACCCCGUGCCUUUUGAUCUAGCACAGACCCUUCACCCCUCACCUCGAUGCAGCCAGUAGCUUGGAUCCUUGUGGGCAUGAUCCAUAAUCGGUUUCAAGGUAACGAUGGUGUCGAGGUCUUUGGUGGGUUGAACUAUGUUAGAAAAGGCCAUUAAUUUGCCUGCAAAUUGUUAACAGAAGGGUAUUAAAACCACAGCUAAGUAGCUCUAUUAUAAUACUUAUCCAGUGACUAAAACCAACUUAAACCAGUAAGUGGAGAAAUAACAUGUUCAAGAACUGUAAUGCUGGGUGGGAACAUGUAACUUGUAGACUGGAGAAGAUAGGCAUUUGAGUGGCUGAGAGGGCUUUUGGGUGGGAAUGCAAAAAUUCUCUGCUAAGACUUUUUCAGGUGAACAUAACAGACUUGGCCAAGCUAGCAUCUUAGCGGAAGCUGAUCUCCAAUGCUCUUCAGUAGGGUCAUGAAGGUUUUUCUUUUCCUGAGAAAACAACACGUAUUGUUUUCUCAGGUUUUGCUUUUUGGCCUUUUUCUAGCUUAAAAAAAAAAAAAGCAAAAGAUGCUGGUGGUUGGCACUCCUGGUUUCCAGGACGGGGUUCAAAUCCCUGCGGCGUCUUUGCUUUGACUACUAAUCUGUCUUCAGGACUCUUUCUGUAUUUCUCCUUUUCUCUGCAGGUGCUAGUUCUUGGAGUUUUGGGGAGGUGGGAGGUAACAGCACAAUAUCUUUGAACUAUAUACAUCCUUGAUGUAUAAUUUGUCAGGAGCUUGACUUGAUUGUAUAUUCAUAUUUACACGAGAACCUAAUAUAACUGCCUUGUCUUUUUCAGGUAAUAGCCUGCAGCUGGUGUUUUGAGAAGCCCUACUGCUGAAAACUUAACAAUUUUGUGUAAUAAAAAUGGAGAAGCUCUAAA